rnacentral:misc_RNA from 1 species
AAUUCCAUAGCUCAAUUAAAAUUAAAUCGAAAUGCUUCAAUCUAUUGAUUCACAAUAUCAGCAGAACAGCCUGAGGCUAACAUUAAAAGGAUAAACAGUACCUGAAGUGCUGAAGUUUCUCUUUUAAGUUUGCUAAUUUAUGUAAUAUAGGAAAGUUAACUAUGACAAGACAAGAAAAAUGGAAUACCUACAUAAAAUCUUAAUCUUAUUAGAUUUGAUCUUCAACAACCUUAAGCUCCAAACGCUCUACAUCUCACUCAGAAUAUGCAUUUGGUGACAAAAGUUCCAAACAAUUCUGGAGAUUGACCUCAAAUUUUGGCAAAUGCUUUACAUGUUCUCGAACAAACUCCUGAUUUUUAUUUUGUUUUCCACUCAACUGGUAGAAGGAAUAAGUUAGAUUUGAAGCAAUAUGAAGUGUUGAAUCUUUUUUUUUUCCCAGAACCAAUGACUUUUCCACUUCUGAAGCAAUAAAAAAACUGCAAUUUCUUGUGCAAUAUUAAAUUGCAAGUCCAUAUAUAUAAAUCAAUUGAGCAGGUCUCAGCUAGUCAGCAUCAUUGAACCUUUCCUGAUUAUAACUAUUAAAUUUGCUUGAAUCAGAUGUUCACUUCAGGCCUAGACACAACGACACACAUUAGAAGUUUUAGUUUUUCAACACUUCCCAAUUUUGUAGAAGCAAAUAAGAGAAUAAGGUCUCUAAAAAUCUCCAUAUCUUUAACAGAUGAUUGCAGAUAAGUUAGAUGAUCAGUUGUCCACCUGAUAGGCAUUGGCCCCUUAAUUUUCAUGCUGUCGGACAUGCAAGUACAGCAAAAGCAGCAAGCAUUAAGAUUGAUGGAAACUAUAAGAUAUUACAUACCAGUCACUCAUAAGAAGCAGAAAUAAACAUGUUCCAGUCAUAGCAAUA